rnacentral:rRNA from 1 species
CCAGCGAACUUGGCAGAGAUGCCUUGGUGCCUUCGGGAACGCUGAGACAGGUGCUGCAUGGCUGUCGUCAGCUCGUGUUGUGAAAUGUUGAGUUAAGUCCCGCAACGAGCGCAACCCUUAUCCUUUGUUGCCAGCGAUUCGGUCGGGAACUCAAAGGAGACUGCCGGUGAUAAACCGGAGGAAGGUGGGGAUGACGUCAAGUCAUCAUGGCCCUUACGAGUAGGGCUACACACGUGCUACAAUGGCGCAUACAAAGAGAAGCGACCUCGCGAGAGCAAGCGGACCUCAUAAAGUGCGUCGUAGUCCGGAUCGGAGUCUGCAACUCGACUCCGUGAAGUCGGAAUCGCUAGUAAUCGUGGAUCAGAAUGCCACGGUGAAUACGUUCCCGGGCCUUGUACACACCGCCCGUCACACCAUGGGAGUGGGUUGCAAAAGAAGUAGGUAGCUUAACCCUCGGGAGGGCGCUUACCACUUUGUGAUUCAUGACUGGGGUGAAGUCGUAACAAGGUAAGCGUAGUGCU